rnacentral:lncRNA from 1 species
AUGGUAGUGUGUCCGAUAGUGGUGGAGGUAUAGGGUUUGUCAUCCGACACUCGAGUUUGGACUUUAUGGUGGCUGAUUGGAGUCACCUACUUGAUAUCUCCAUCUCGAGGGCAAAGCUAAGGGCAGUUUGGGCCGGUAUCACCUAUACGAGGAAGAUGCUAUGGAUAAACCAUUUUAUCAUCUACCAUAGUGGUGAGAUGGAUUUAAGG